AGUUGACAUGUACAUGAUACUUCUUAUCAGACAAGGAAGUUGAAACUAGUUUGUACUUUACUAGUAUUAUAUCAUACAUAUUACUACUGAGCAGUAGCUUUCUUGGCUUUCUUAGCAGCAGAGGACUUGAUGGAUUUGGGCUGCUUUGGUUUGGCAGCAGCCGAUUUCUUUGCCUUCUUAGGCGGAGGAGGAGCGGCGGCGGCAGACUCUGCUUUGAUUUUAGCUGCAGCAGUUACGGACCUUGUUUUCCUUGGGGCCUUGGCCUUGGUCUUGAUCUCUUUUUUGGUUUUGCCAGCUGCCGCUUCAGAGAGCUUGUAAGAGGCCCUGAUCUUGAUGAGAUUUCCUUUCGCAGCGAAGUGCUUCAGCUGCACUGCCAAUAUUUUCCUGAAAUUCGCUGGGAGCUCAUCUUUGUGCUUCUCUUCCAUGUACUUGGCUAUUGCGUAUGGGCUUGAACCGCUCUUAUCUUGCAGCGCCAUCAGUGCCUCCGUUAUCAUCUGCACAAUUAAUUACAAUAAUAUCAAAAACUUCCUUCAAUGAACGUGACUUAUAAUUUAAUUUGAUUAAAUUGACAAACCUGAAAAUAAGGAGGAUGAGAGGGGGUUUUGGACUGCUUUGGCUUCUUCUCUUUAGGAGCCUUGGGCUUCUUGUCCUUAGCAGCCUUGGCCUUCUUCUCAGUGACGACCUUUUCCGGCUCCUCCGCAGCCGGCUGCUGCUCCGUCACAGCUUCACCUUCU
rnacentral:lncRNA from 1 species